AUUGCAAUUCAUUCAUUAUGACAUCUAUGAUCCUAUAAGUGUUAGAGUAAGGCAUGAUGUCUUGUACUUCAUCACAUUUAUAGAUGACUUUACUUGUUAUAGUCAUGUGUAUGAGUUGGGAUGGGACAUGGUAUACUAAUAAUGGUGAAUGAGUGACAAAUAUAUAAAGAUAAUAUGUGUUGCCUUGAUUAAGUAUUAAGAUAAGGUCUAUAACAAAUGACAUUUUGACCAAAUAUAGCUGCCCAUAAUUACAUUUACCUAUUUAAAUUGGACUUGAGUUCAAGCAUAAAGGGUUUAAUGAAAACUAUAGAUGCAAAACUCGGGUAAGCUAUAAGUGUGAAGCUCUUAGUUAAGGUUCGUAUGAUGGUAGUUUGACAUAUACUCUCCAAGUAAAGAGAACCACCAUAACAUGUAUUUCAUACUACAUGUGUUUGAAUGUGACUAAUAAGAAAAGUGAGUGAUUAAUCCUUGCAUUUUCAUUGUAUGAGACUUUCAGGGCUUAUUACAACUAUAAUAGCCCAUUAUUGUAUUUUUUUUGUAUUUUGGCUAUGUUUUGAGGUGAUAAAUUAAUACUGCUACUUUGAUAUGUUUU
rnacentral:lncRNA from 1 species